CCUGGUUGAUCCUGCCAGUAGUCAUAUGCUUGUCUCAAAGAUUAAGCCAUGCAUAUGUAAGUAUGAACUAUUUCAGACUAUGAAACUGCGAAUGGCUCAUUAAAUCAGUUAUAGUUUGUUUGAUGGUACGUGCUACUCGAAUAACCGAAGUAAUUCUAGAGCUAAUACGUGCAACAAACCCCGACUUCGGAAGGGAUGCAUUUAUUAGAUAAAAGGCUGGCGUGGGCUUUGCCCGUGCUCCGAUGAUUCAUGAUAACUCUCGACGGAUCGCACGGCCCUCGUGUCGGGCGACGCAUCAUUCAAAUUUCUGCCCUAUCAACUUUCGAUGGUAGGAUAGGGGCCUACCAUGGUGGUGACGGGUGAUGGAGAAUUAGGUUCGAUUAGGAGAGGGAGCCCGAGAAACGGCUACCACAUCCAAGGAAGGCAACAAAGCACAAAUUACACAAAUCGACACGGGGAGGUAUUGACAAUAAAUAACAAUACCGGGCUAUUCGAAGUUUGGUAAUUGGAAUGAGUACAAUCUAAAUCCCUUUAACGAGGAUCCAUUGGAGGGCAAGUUUAGUGCCAAGAACCAUGUAAUUCCAGCUCCAAUAGCGUAUAUUUAAGUUGUUGCAGUUUAAAAAAAGCUCGUAGUUGGACUUUGGGGCCGAAUUGGUCGGUCGGUCCGCCUGUGUGUGCGGUCGUCCCAUCCCUUCUGUCGGCGAUCGUGCGUUCGGGCCUUAAUCUGGCGGGUCGUGCCUCCGGCGGCUGUUACUUUGAAGAAAUUAGAGUGCUCAAAGCAAGCCCACGCUCUGGAUACAUUAGCAUGGGAUAACAUCACAGGAUUUCGGUCCUAUUGUGUUGGCCUUCGGGAUCGGAGUAAUGAUUAAGAGGGACGAUCGGGGGCAUUAAGUAUUUCAUAGUCAGAGGUGAAAUUCUUGGAUUUAUGAAAGACGAACCAAAAAAGCAUUUGCCAAGGAUGUUUUCAUUAAUCAAGAAAGAAAGUUGGGGGCUCGAAGAUGUUGAGAUACCGCCCUAGUCUCAACCAUAAACGAUGCCGACCGAGGGGAUCGGCGGAUGUUGCUCUUAGGACUCCGCCGGCACCUAAUGAGAAAUCAAAGUCUUUGGGUUCCGAGGGGAGUAUGGUCGCAAGGCUGAAACUUAAAGGAAUUGACGGAAGGGCACCACCAGGAGUGGAGCCUGCGGCUUAAUUUGACUCAACACGGGGAAACUUACCAGGUCCAGACAUAGCAAGGAUUGACAGACUGAGAGCUCUUUCUUGAUUCUAUGGGUGGUGGUACAUGGCCGUUCUUAGUUGGUGGAGCGAUUUGUCUGGUUAAUUCCGAUAACGAACGAGACCUCAGCCUGCUAACUAGCUACGCGGAGGCAUCCCUCCACGGCCAGCUUCUUGUUAGGAUCGGAGCAGCACUAAGAGGGGGGGGGUGAAUUAGUGCAACGGAUUAAAACUUUGGUUUUUAAAAAAUCUUUCGUAUGAUAAGAGUGGAACUUGACAAGCUUAAUCUUGAAAGCGUAUUCUUAAAUAUGCGCAGCAAAAGUAAUGAGGAACUAAAGCAUAUAAGAAGGUUUGCAAUAAUGU
rnacentral:rRNA from 1 species